GCGAGCAAUGUCGCCUUCUCUUCGGAGCAUCCGAGACAGGUGGUGCAUGGUUGUCGUCAGCUCGUGUCGUGAGAUGUUGGGUUAAGUCCCGCAACGAGCGCAACCCUUACCCUUAGUAGCCAGCACAAAAAAGGUGGGCACUCUAGGGGGACUGCCAGGGAGAACCUGGAGGAAGGUGGGGAUGACGUCAAAUCAUCAUGCCCCUUAUGGGCAGGGCUACACACGUGCUACAAUGGCGUAAACAAAGGGAGGCGAGGCCGCGAGGCGGAGCAAACCCCAAAAAUAACGUCCCAGUUCGGAUUGUAGCCUGCAACCCGGCUACAUGAAGCUGGAAUCGCUAGUAAUCGCGGAUCAGAAUGCCGCGGUGAAUACGUUCCCGGGUCUUGUACACACCGCCCGUCACACCAUGGGAGUUGGCAACGCCCGAAGUCAGUGACCCAACCGGAAGGGGGGAGCUGCCGAAGGCGGGGCCGGUAACUGGGGUGAAGUCGUAACAAGGUAGCCGUAUCGGAAGGUGCGGCUGGAUCACCUCCUUAA
rnacentral:rRNA from 1 species